rnacentral:tRNA from 1 species
AUGCUGAAAGNAUAUUAGUACAACUGCCUUCCAAGCAGGAAGCCCAAAAUUAGGUCAGCAUA